CAUAAUAUGACAUUGCAUUCGAAGAAGAAUAAGAGAGUUAAUCACAUUGCUAAUCAUUCAAACAUCACGUUGUCAUUAGAAAGAUUAAAAACAUGUUAAUCAUUAAUUUACAAUGCCUAUAUUUUGUUAGCUUUAUUUUAAAAUCUAUGAUAAACUUUAAAAAUUACCGACAUGACGUUUGCGUGGUUCUUUUUACUGCAAACAAGAUUGAAAAUAAAAAUUGUUUUGCUUGGGAAACUAACAUACGUUGUAUGGAAACAGCAUUUUAUGAUAUUGCUUAGUCGUCGAUUUAAAUAUAGCUUAGGCCCGUUUCAAACGACGUGCUUCUCAUGUGCAAAAUACUCUAAAUUAGGUUCGGCACAUGAAAUACACGCCGUUUGAAACGGGCCUUAGAUUACAAUUAUAAUACGUCAUUUAGCCAAUCAUAACAGCCUAAGCUGUCUUUAACAAUAGAAGGUUCACAGAAUUGCCUUAGAGUACCAAGAAUUCAAUAGUGGCUAGCUGGAAUUCCUGCGCUUUGACUUUUCAAGCUCAACAUGAAGCAUUCAAGAAGCAAAAUAUUUUUCAGCUUCAUUUUUCUUUUUUUUAUCUUUAAUCAACUAACUGUUGUUUCGACGAAAAAGUCUAAAGGACAAAGAAAUCACCAUCAAAUUUAAUUUCCUCAAAACCAAAUUGUUUUCCUUGCUCCUUGUACAAGCGAAUGACCUUCCCAUCAUACCUAAUGUAUAAGUAUUUGUCA